GUCUAGGUGGCGGAGUGGCUAACUCAACUGCCUAAUGAGCAGGAGAUCCCGGGUUCGAGUCCCGGUCUGGCACA